rnacentral:misc_RNA from 1 species
UAACGCGCUUCUCGAAGUAUCAUUUAUAAAGACCAGAGCAACAUAUCAGCGACACAUCUUGAUAGUCCAUUCUCCUAAAACGAUGUCUGGUAACGUGGCUAACUGUAAUUCAAAUCCAGUAGAGUACGCUUCUUCUGACGAGUUUCAAGCAUCCAAUGUACAGAAAAUAAUAAGCGAUUUUGUGAAAGACCUAAGAAGUAUAUCCGGGAAAUGUAUGGAUGUCGGUUGCGGUCCUGGAGACAUAACACGUAAUGUUAUCUUGCCAAAUCUUCAUCCGAAUGCGGUAAUAAUUGGUACGGACAUUUCCGCGACCAUGAUUGAAUAUGCGAAAAAAGCAUACAGUGACAAUAAACGCCUCGAAUUUGAAGUACUGGAUAUUGAAACUGAAAGUUUACCUGAAAAAUACAUUUCUAAGCUUGAUUGUAUAUUUUCAUUUCACUCCUUGCAAUGGUGCAAUGAUAUCAGAAAAGCUUUUGAGAAUAUGUACCGUAUGCUUAAACCUGGUGGGAAUAUCCUCGUACAAUUUAUAGCAAAUAGUACUGCAUUAGAAGUGAAUAAGAAGCUAACACAGGAUGUCCGUUUUGCAUCUUACAUGCAGUACGACCACAAGAAGAGCUAGAACAGUUACUUAAAGAAAUCGGAUUUAGCGUUGAACAUUGCAGUCUUCUUGAAGUAGAUAGUUCCAACAUAAAUCUGGCCAUGUAUAUAUCUUCGAUAAUGAAUAUUUUUCCAUCUUUGGAUGAGAUGCCUCAUGAUAAAAAGGAAGAAUUUAAGGUCGAAUAUUCACG